ACCCGUUGAUCCUGCGGGAGAUUGCUGCUAUUGGGAUUCGAUUUAGCCAUGCAAGUUCUGGGGACUUCGGUCACCGGCGCAUCGCUCAGUAACACGUCACUAAUCUGACCUUAGGUCAGGGACAGCCUUGGGAAACUGAGGGUAAACCCUGAUAGGAAAUGAAGGCUGGAAUGCCUCAAUUCCCAAACUCGCGCCUAAGGAUGAGGUGGCGGUCGAUUAGGUUGUUGGCGGGGUAAUGGCCCACCAAGCCUUUGAUCGGUAGGGGCCCUGGAAGGGGUAGCCCCGAGAAGGACACUGAGAUACUGGUCCUAGCCCUACGGGGUGCAGCAGGCGCGAAACCUUUACAAUGCACGAAAGUGUGAUAAGGGAAUCCCAAGUGCUCAUGCAAUGCAUGGGCUUUUGCCGAGUGUAAAUAGCUCGGCGAAUAAGUGGUGGGCAAGACGGGUGCCAGCCGCCGCGGUAACACCUGCGCCACGAGUGGCAAUCGUAUUACUAGGCCUAAAGCGUCCGUAGCCGGUGGAGUAAAUCUUUUGUGAAAUUGUUGGACUCAAUCCAACAGCGUGCAAGGGACACUGCUUCGCUUGGGACCGGGAGGAGUCAGAGGUAUGCUCAGGGAACUGGUAAAAUGGUAUAAUCCUGAGUAGACCACCUGUGGCGAAGGCGUCUGACCAGAACGGAUCCGACGGUGAGGGACGAAAGCUAGGGGAGCAAACCGGAUUAGAUACCCGAGUAGUCCUAGCAGUAAACGCUGCGAGCUAGGUGUUGCAUAUUCUUCGUGAAUCUGCAGUGUCGAAGCGAAGGUAUUAAGCUCGCCGCCUGGGAAGUACGGUCGCAAGGCUGAAACUUUAAGGAAUUGGCGGGGGAGCACCACAAGGGGUGCGGCGUGCGGUUUAAUCUAACUCAACGCAGAGAAUCUCACUAGAGGCGACGGCAGAAUGAUAGUCAGUCUGAAGGGCUUACUUGACGAGCCGAGAGGUAGUGCAUGGCCGCCGUCAGCUCGUGCUGUAAAGUGUCCAGCUAAGCCUGGUAACGAGCGAGACCUGUAUCCAUAAUUGCUAACGACCACUCCGGUGGGAUUGAGAUCAUUAUGGAGACUGCCCUGGAAACAGGGAGGAAGGUGCAGGCUACGGUAGGUCUGUAUGCUCCGAAUCUUCUAGGCGACACGCGCGCAGCAAUGGUAGAGACAAUGGGAUACAACUCCGAAAGGAGACGUUAAACCUCGAAACUCUACCUUAGUUCAGAUUGAGGGCUGUAACUUGCCCUCAUGACGAUGGAAUCCCUAGUAAUCAGAAGUCAACAUCUUCUGGUGAAUAUGUCCCUGCUCCUUGCACACACCGCCCGUCAAACCAACCGAGCAGGGUCUGAAUGAGACGCAACUUUUGAUUGCGCCGAAUUUUGGCUCAGUGAGGUGGGUUAAGUCGUCACAAGGUA
rnacentral:rRNA from 1 species